rnacentral:rRNA from 1 species
CCUACGGGAGGCAGCAGUGGGGAAUAUUGGGCAAUGGGCGCAAGCCUGACCCAGCAACGCCGCGUGAAGGAAGAAGGCCCUCGGGUUGUAAACUUCUUUUGUCAGGGACGAAACAACUGACGGUACCUGCCGCCUAAGCCACGGCUAACUACGUGCCAGCAGCCGCGGUCAUACGGAGGUGGCAAGCGUUAUCCGGAUUUCCUGGGUGUAAAGGGCGUGUAGGUGGGAGCGCAAGUCAGAUGUGAAAUUCCAGGGCUACACCCUGGAACUGCAUUGGAAACUGUUGUUCUUGAGUGAUGGAGAGGCAGGCGGAAUUCCGGGUGUAGCGGUGAAAUGCGUAGAUAUACGGAGGAACACCAGUGGCGAAGGCGGCCUGCUGGACAUUAACUGACGCUGAGGCGCGAAAGCGUGGGGAGCAAACAGGAUUAGAUACCCGUGUAGUC